AUAAACCUUGCAUUAUGGUUCAUCAGCAUAAUAACCAACAAUUACAAAAAUUAUACAUAAAGGGAUAUUUACAUGCCCAUCUAUAUUUAUUCUUGAGACAAUUUCAGCAACACCAACAAGGAACAAUAAAUUGAUUGGCAAAUUGUCUCCUAUCUAUUUCCUUCAGAAGAAACUUUCAUGCGACCCAUUAUGUUCUACUCAUAACUUCAUGGUGAUCUUGAGCUUGUGAACCAAACAACCAAUGGAAACCAAUAAUACCCAUGCACUCCAUAUUGGCAUCACUUGCUCCUCCUAUAGUUGGGGUUUUCCUCAGCGAGUUUACGGUUAUAAGCCAGACCCAGAGGUGUCAUCAGAAUCUGUUGAAAUUGAAACAGAUAGAGAAAGUGUUGCGUCACUUGCUAAAGCUCUUUAUACCGCAAUUAGAACUCCUAUCGCAAUCUGUGUUCCUUUACUGCACCUAUUCGAAAGACAGAGAGCAAACGAGAAUGGUUGCAUUAGUUGAACCAGAAAUGCAACAGCUAGAAGUGGAUGACAGCACAAAAUAAGAAUAUGGUGAACUUCAUGAUCAAGAAUCAGAUGAAAAAAUGGUAUAGAAAGUAUCAAGAUUGACAUUGAUUAUUCAAGGGAAGAAAGCAUUGGACAGAGUAUAUUGAACCUCUUGAAUUAAGGAAUAAUGAGGAUCACCUGAAUAAACUCACUGCUCCAGGGCCUGCACAUAUGUUAUGAGUUGUACCUAGACCUUAUUCAUUAGUGAAAUGACUAGUUUUUAUAUAUAUUAAAACGUACAAAGAAUAAGAAAAGCUAAAUCAAUGAAUAAAGAGAACAAUCAGGAAGAAAUUCAAAGAGGCCCAAUUAAAAUGACAUUGACAAUGAGCCAUUUCAGUUACAAUCAUCACAAAUAGCAAUAAUCAUGAAGUAAUUAAAAGAGAACCAAAAGGGUGGUCCAGCCGUAGGGUAUCAACAGGCAGAAGUGCAAAGGUGGCAAUGUAAAGCAUAUACCAGGAAUCCUACCUCAUUUCAGUUAAGUUUGGGAAAAGUCAGCCAUGAAUGUACAUAAAAAAGAUGAAUGGCAGUGUUAUUGCCAUAUCAGUUACAGUUGAGCAUAAAGGCCAACAGUUAUUUAGGUAAACCAAAAUCUAUUCUCGAACAGUUACAAAUUGAAGCAUUAGUGAAAGAAAGAGCAAUCAUAGGGGGAAUUCUAAAGAUACAAAUUAGAUUAUCUUCAUUUCAGUUACAAUCACAAGAUGCAAACCAUGAAUGUUCAGUUACAAUCAGCAAUGAUGACCAAAGUAAUCAGGGCAUGUUACACGUUUUUAGGCCAAACCAUCAGACACCACAAUCAUCUAUAAAAAGGCAUCACACUCAUACAAAAAAACAGCAGACACAGAAAAAGAAAUCAGAAACAUUGCUACACAAAUACACUCAGUAAACACGGUGAAAAAGAGAAAACACUUGAGUAUUCAUAUUAACAUACCACACACCACAAGCACUCAGAGUAUACAAGUACAACACAGGGAGAGAAUACAAAAAACAGAGAUACAUAUCGUACACCUCAGUCAGCAAAAGUCAGGGAAAUAUCUAAAAGGGAGUACAAGUUCAGGGGUAGUACGGCGAACGAAUAAUCAAACCAAAUUGCUACAUAAGGUUAGUACCAAAAUCCAUAUUCAGACUUCGUGAUUUUCAUGGUUUAGGCGUUAAUAUUAUUAUCUUGUUUACCGUCCACGCACUAAAAGAAAUAUAUAAAAUAGAGUAUCAGCAUACAUCAUAUAUUCUUGUGGUAUAAUGCUUCCUGAGUUGCAUAUUAUCUGACAUGUUAUAGCUAAUGACUCACGACUCGAAACUAGAAUAAUAACCAGACAAAAUGAACAUCCUUUUAAUGAGAGGUAAGGCAUAUAUGCGUAUGUAAUUAAAUCAGGAUGGAUCAAAAAAUGAGUAGAUCGUUAAAGCAAUAAUAAUGGAAACAAGAACGAAGGCCAUGGUUACCUCUUUUUGUAGAGCCACCGCGAUGAUAGGUGGGAACCACCGUCGAGAGUAAGAGCCCGAUUCUGAACCACCUUAAGCCACCGGGAGUGAAAACCGAACCAUCAUAAACCACCGGAAGCGAGAACCGAACCACUUUANN
rnacentral:lncRNA from 1 species